GACCAACGAGUAAAUCUAUAUUCCAAUGAGACUACCCCUGGAGUUGAGGUUCAUGACUAUGAGAAGGAAAGAUGGAUAUGUGGACAAAAUUAGAUUCUAUUAAAAAAAGAAAGAAGAGGCAAUGAAUGUCAGGAAUGCAAACUUGAUCUUGACUUUAAGGUCAAAGCAUUUUCAGAAUGUGCAGUCAGCAGAGAAUUGAAAAAAAAAAUCAAUGUGAAACAUAUUAGAGAAGAAUAAGGGGAAGAGUGAUGCAGAAGUGCUGGGAAGUCAUGCAGGGAUUGGAAACCACAAAGAUUCUACAGAAAGUAAGAACGUCCUGCACCGAGAUGUUUAUGAUUCCUUUUGCUUUUACUUCCCUUUUCUUACAUAGGGGUAGGUGAAAAUUAUGGUAAUUUGAGGUCUGGACCACUUUCAAAGCAUUUUCAGGGGAUGAAAAUGACUUUUGACCUCUAAAAAUGAGACAUGUUUCUUUUUUUUUUUUUCCUGAAACCCUUUUUUCUUUUCCUGUUUUGUUCAUGGUAGGGGAGAUGACUAUAUUCCAUACCUGUUAUGCACACAAACUUAGAAGGGUUUAUUGCAGCUCCAUGGCUGAAAAUAGCAAUGAAAAUUGUGAGACCUUUUAUGUCAGCAUUGGAAAUAAACU
rnacentral:lncRNA from 10 species